GGAGGAAUCUGAUCAAUUUAAAAUUUUUUACUUCCAAAUUUAUUAGUGUUCCAGCCAUGCAGCUGUAUAGAACAUAAUUGUCAGAUGAAAAAGUCUUGCCAAGAGCCUGAAGCCUUACAAUAGGGGAUGAAACACUUAAAAUCCUGCUUAAUUAUUCUGGCCAAGUGAAAUGUUUAUUUGUAUUUCCGUUUUUCCUCUAAUGAUUUUCUCUCCCCAGAACUCUCACUGCGAAUAAUACACCUGCAUUGCUGAGCAAAACAGUAGGCCACUCUGAAAACUACCUGUCCAGACAGUGAGAGAUGGGAUCGGGAUACUCAGUUUGACCUGAAGUCUUUAAAAUCGGGUAGCAUCUCCCUCCCAAACCAUCCUGUGAUCCUAUGAUUCCAUGAUUCUGAGAUUCUAUGACUCUAAGAUCGGAGAAUUCGGACCCACGCGGGACGCCCACGGUGGGAGGGACACGGUGAUAUCCACGUGGUUUCUGUGUGGGUGAAGAAGGGGAGGCUGUCCGACUUCAAAAACGAGACUCGCUAAAGACCGACGGGCUUAGGAGUUGUUCAGCCUCCAGUGAUCGUGAAUCUGUGGCCAGGGGCCCACCAGGAGGUGGGAAUCAACACUGUGUAGGAGCAAGCUUGUAAUCCCCACUCGGGCAGGGAAGGAGGUGUCUCUGUGGUGCUGCAAACACCCCCGUAACCUGCGGUGCUCUGAGCUCUGCGGCUGUGUUGUUUGGGACAGAUGUUGGUCAGAAGGGAGAACUUGGGUCACCAAACGCAAAGAGGCGUUGAGGACGCGUUCCCAGCCGCAGUCCCUGCCAGGUGAGGAAGCCCCCUCGUUCUGCACGGACAGCUUCCCUCCAGGCACCAACCAGCAGCACGUUGCUUCUUUCCUCAUACUUCCAAAAAAAACAAUCAGUUCCUCACAGGCGGGUUGCCCAAAACUGGGACGGGAAGGAGAGCAGGACUCAGGGACACACCUCCAG